rnacentral:rRNA from 1 species
GGUUAAGCGACCAAGCGUAUACGGUGGAUGCCUUGGCAGUCAGAGGCGAUGAAGGACGUAGUAACUUGCGAAAAGCGUUGGUGAGCUAGUAACAAGCAUUUGAGCCAGCGAUGUCCGAAUGGGGAAACCCGGCAGCAUAAGCUGUCAUCAAUACGUGAAUACAUAGCGUAUUGAGGCGAACGAGGGGAACUGAAACAUCUAAGUACCCUUAGGAAAAGAAAUCAACCGAGAUUCCCCAAGUAGCGGCGAGCGAACGGGGAUUAGCCCUUAAGUCUUUGGGGUGUUAGUGGAAUGUGUUGGAAAGCACAGCGGCACAGGGUGAUAGCCCCGUACACGUAAACUAACCAGAGAUGAAAUCGAGUAAGGCGGCACACGUGAUAUGUUGUCUGAAUAUGGGGGGACCAUCCUCCAAGGCUAAAUACUCCUGACUGACCGAUAGUGAACCAGUACCGUGAGGGAAAGGCGAAAAGAACCCCUGUGAGGGGAGUGAAAUAGAACCUGAAACCGUAUACGUACAAGCAGUGGAAGCGGUCCUUGAGACCGUGACUGCGUACCUUUUGUAUAAUGGGUCAGCGACUUACAUUUAGUAGCGAGGUUAAGCGAAUAGCGGAGCCGUAGGGAAACCGAGUGUUAACUGCGCGUAUAGUUGCUAGGUGUAGACCCGAAACCCGGUGAUCUAGCCAUGGGCAGGUUGAAGGUUGAGUAACAUCAACUGGAGGACCGAACCGACUAAUGUUGAAAAAUUAGCGGAUGACUUGUGGCUGGGGGUGAAAGGCCAAUCAAACCGGGAGAUAUCUGGUUCUCCUCGAAAGCUAUUUAGGUAGCGCCUCGGACGAACACCUUUGGGGGUAGAGCACUGUUAAGGCUAGGGGGUCAUCCCGACUUACCAACCCUUUGCAAACUCCGAAUACCAAAGAGUGCUAUCCGGGAGACAGACGGCGGGUGCUAACGUCCGUCGUCAAAAGGGAAACAACCCAGACCGUCAGCUAAGGUCCCAAAGUAAUUGCUAAGUGGGAAACGAUGUGGGAAGGCUUAGACAGCUAGGAUGUUGGCUUAGAAGCAGCCAUCAUUUAAAGAAAGCGUAAUAGCUCACUAGUCGAGUCGGCCUGCGCGGAAGAUGUAACGGGGCUAAGCAAUUCACCGAAGCUACGGGUACUGAUGCUUGCAUCAGUGCGGUAGAGGAGCGUUCUGUAAGCCGUUGAAGGCGAAGGGGUAACCCACGCUGGAGGUAUCAGAAGUGCGAAUGCUGACAUGAGUAACGAUAAAGGGGGUGAAAAACCCCCUCGCCGAAAGACCAAGGGUUCCUGUCCAACGUUAAUCGGGGCAGGGUGAGUCGACCCCUAAGGCGAGGCUGAAAGGCGUAGUCGAUGGGAAACGGGUUAAUAUUCCCGUACUUCUGCUAACUGCGAUGGAGAGACGGAGAAGGCUAGGCCGGCGCGGCGUUGGUAGUCCGCGUUUAAGGUAGUAGGUGGUGUGCUUAGGCAAAUCCGGGCACACAUACACUGAGAGCUGACGACGAGUCCCUAAGGGGAUGAAGUGGUUGAUGCCAUGCUUCCAGGAAAAUCUUCUAAGCUUCAGGUUAGCAGGAAUCGUACCCCAAACCGACACAGGUGGUCGGGUAGAGAAUACCAAGGCGCUUGAGAGAACUCGGCUGAAGGAACUAGGCAAAAUGGUACCGUAACUUCGGGAGAAGGUACGCUCCUGUUGGUGACGAGACUUGCUCUCAGAGCUGACGGGAGUCGCAGAUACCAGGUGGCUGCAACUGUUUAUCAAAAACACAGCACUGUGCAAAAUCGCAAGAUGACGUAUACGGUGUGACGCCUGCCCGGUGCCGGAAGGUUAAUUGAUUGGGUUAUCUUCGGAGAAGCUCAUGAUCGAAGCCCCGGUAAACGGCGGCCGUAACUAUAACGGUCCUAAGGUAGCGAAAUUCCUUGUCGGGUAAGUUCCGACCUGCACGAAUGGCGUAAUGAUGGCCACGCUGUCUCCAGCCGAGACUCAGUGAAGUUGAAAUUGCGGUGAAGAUGCCGUAUACCCGCGGCUAGACGGAAAGACCCCGUGAACCUUUACUAUAGCUUGGCACUGAACAUUGACCCUACAUGUGUAGGAUAGGUGGGAGACUAUGAAGAUGAGACGCCAGUCUUGUUGGAGUCAACCUUGAAAUACCACCCUUGUAGUGUUGAUGUUCUAACCUGGGCCCCUAAUCGGGGUUAGGGACAGUGCCUGGUGGGUAGUUUGACUGGGGCGGUCUCCUCCCAAAGAGUAACGGAGGAGCACGAAGGUUGGCUAAGUACGGUCGGACAUCGUACGGUUAGUGUAAUGGCAUAAGCCAGCUUAACUGCGAGACAGACACGUCGAGCAGGUGCGAAAGCAGGUCAUAGUGAUCCGGUGGUUCUGAAUGGAAGGGCCAUCGCUCAACGGAUAAAAGGUACUCCGGGGAUAACAGGCUGAUACCGCCCAAGAGUUCAUAUCGACGGCGGUGUUUGGCACCUCGAUGUCGGCUCAUCACAUCCUGGGGCUGAAGUCGGUCCCAAGGGUAUGGCUGUUCGCCAUUUAAAGUGGUACGCGAGCUGGGUUCAGAACGUCGUGAGACAGUUCGGUCCCUAUCUGCCGUGGGCGUUGGAUGAUUGAGGGGAGCUGCUCCUAGUACGAGAGGACCGGAGUGGACGAACCGCUGGUGUUCGGGUUGUCAUGCCAAUGGCAUUGCCCGGUAGCUACGUUCGGAAUCGAUAACCGCUGAAAGCAUCUAAGCGGGAAGCGAGCCCCAAGAUGAGUCAUCCCUAGGGCCUAGAGCCCUCUGAAGAGCCGUUCGAGACCAGGACGUUGAUAGGCAGGGUGUGUAAGCGUUGCGAGGCGUUGAGCUAACCUGUACUAAUGACUCGAGAGGCUUAACCAU